rnacentral:rRNA from 1 species
CCUACGGUGUGCAGCAGUGAGGAAUAUUGGUCAAUGGACGAGAGUCUGAACCAGCCAAGUAGCGUGAAGGAUGACUGCCCUAUGGGUUGUAAACUUCUUUUAUAUGGGAAUAAAAUGUUCCACGUGUGGGAUUUUGUAUGUACCAUAUGAAUAAGCAUCGGCUAACUCCGUGCCAGCAGCCUCGGUAAUACGGAGGAUCCGAGCGUUAGCCGGAUUUAUUGGGGUUAAAGGGAGCGUAGGUGGAUUGUUAAGUCAGUUGUGAAAGUUUGCGGCUCAACCGUAAAAUUGCAGUUGAAACUGGCAGUCUUGAGUACAGUAGAGGUGGGCGGAAGUCGUGGUGUAGCGGUGAAAGGCUUAGAUAGCACGAAGAACUCCGAUUGCGAAGGCAGUUCACUGGACUGCAACUGACACUGAGGCUCGAAAGUGUGGGUAUCAAACAGGAUUAGAUACCCCAGUAGUC